rnacentral:lncRNA from 1 species
UGCAGACUGGAGAAGCUGACUGUCCCAGGGACAUCCAGGUGGUUCAUGCUGCAAAACUGACCAAAUUACAUGUAUACAUAGAUAGAUUCUUGUAAAUGAUUAGUAUAAACUGUUGUGGAGUACAAUCUUUUGUUUGUAGUUCAAUUGGUUAGAGGAUGUUUUUUACAAAGUUUAAGAUAACCAAUAGCAAUGGAUCAUGUGUGCACUGGAGAAGUCACAUAGGAACAUGAGCCAGCUGGGUAGAAGGAAUUUGCAGAACAGCAGUUUGUAGUCCUCACCUGAUCCAGUUGAGGACAUCACUGCAUGGACCCUUGCAACAGACUCCCAUCAUCGUCUGUACAGUGAUCAACCAGUCCCUUUGACAGAUUUAAUUCCCCAUGUCUAUAAACUCCUCCAGCCUACAGUGUCUUCAUCUAGAGUGGGCAAGGACUCUCUGUAGGAGCAGAUGUUCCCAUCUCUCUGAGAAAAUAAUGAUAGAUCUGUAUCUUCCGAAGGCGCUCAGUAGAUGA